GUGCUCACUUUAGCAGCCCAUAUACUAAAAUUGGAAUGAUACAGAGAAGAUUAGCAUAAGGAUGACAUGAAAUUCAUGAAGCGUUCCAUAUUUGG
ensembl:snRNA U6 U6 spliceosomal RNA